rnacentral:rRNA from 1 species
UACGAAGGGGACUAGCGUUGUUCGGAAUCACUGGGCGUAAAGCGCACGUAGGCGGAUGUGUCAGUCAGGGGUGAAAUCCCGGGGCUCAACCUCGGAACUGCCUUUGAUACAGCACGUCUCGAGUCCGGAAGAGGUGGGUGGAAUUCCUAGUGUAGAGGUGGAAUUCGUAGAUAUUAGGAAGAACACCAGUGGCGAAGGCGGCUCACUGGUCCGGUACUGACGCUGAGGUGCGAAAGCGUGGGGAGCAAACAGG